rnacentral:lncRNA from 1 species
GAGGCUAAAUCUUUGCACUACACAAAUUUUUCUUCAAGUCGUUCGGAAAUAAAGCAUGAUUUAAAGAGGAAAAAUUUGCAAACACAAUGGAGUCCUGACAUUUCAAUUGAGAAAAAGGUAAAAAAAUGAAAAUUCGAAAAUCAAGAAAAAGAAAAAUCAUGUAGACAGUCAACUUCAACCACUUCCACAGAUCGAAUUGAUAAACCUUCAGCUAGUUCUAGCACAAACAUCACAUCUUCAAUUUUAAAACAAGCUGUGGCUGAUGUUGUUCGACCAUAUUUUCAUAGUGUUAUUAAACAGUUGGAGGAAAUUAAGUCAGAGUUAGAUGUGCAGCGCCAAAAGCAAGUUUCUAUUAAUCAUAAUACAAGUGGAAAUCUUCCAGAAAACUUUAUACUUCCAUUAAAAGAAAUUGAUGAACUCUUACAGUUAAAUAGCAUUUUUCUGGAAAAUACUGAAUGUCGAUCAAAUGCAGAGGUAAUGGCAGUAGUUCAAUGUUGUAGUUUAUUAAAGAAAUCCACUAGCUGCUUUGGCUUCAGGGAAUAGGUGCCACAAAGUAGGCAAAAUAAGAAAUGCACUCAUAUUAAAUAAUAAACACUGACCUAUCUAUCUAUAACUAUGGUUAUUGAAAAGUGUAGGGUUCGAGCUCAAGCUAAGAAGAAGAACUACAAACGCCACAAACGAUAAUGCAUUAAUCACUUCCUACACCACUACAUCUAUAUGUCUAAUACUUACAUUUCACAAAAGGUUUGGUAAACCAGAGCUGAAAGCUGAUGUUAAUGAGCAGUGGCAGAAACAAGCCUGCAUCAGACAAACCAUUAAUGCACCUCUCUCAGAUGCCUUGACUUUUCCACUCCAAGAGAUAAAUGAUCUUCUAGAAAUCAACCCAAUUGCAAGAUUCUGAGUAGUGAUCAAGAACAGUGCAGUAAGAAAACUAUCCCUAAGCGACAAUUAGUCAACCGGACAAGAUGCUGCCAAAAUGGCUAUCAAGUUCAAUUGACAUGGAUGGUCUCGAAAAAAUCGCUAGGAGAGGCGUAGAGGAAAGUUCUUUAGAAGACAUAUAAUUUUUAUAUUAAAUGUAAUGAAGUGUUUUUUAUAAUGUGUUUAUUUUCUUUUUUACAUUGUUAUUUUAUUGGAUAUUGGUUGAGAAUAUUUAUCGAAUAAAUUUCUUUUAUAUGA